rnacentral:rRNA from 1 species
GACGAACGCUGGCGGCGUGCCUAAUACAUGCAAGUCGAGAGAAGCGGCGGAUGGGUGAGAAAAGCGUGGGUAACAUGCACAUAAGCCUGGGAUACCAUUUGGAAACAGAUACUAAUACCGGAUAAUAAGAGAUGGACCUGCGAUGCAUUAGAUAGAUGGGAAGGUAACGGCUUACCAAGGCGAUGAUGCAUAGCCGAGUUGAGAGACUGAUCGGCCACAUUGGGACUGAGACACGGCCCAAACUCCUACGGGAGGCAGCAGUAGGGAAUCUUCCACAAUGGACGAAAGUCUGAUGGAGCAACGCCGCGUGAGUGAAGAAGGUUUUCGGAUCGUAAAGCUCUGUUGUUGGUGAAGCGGUAAUCAACCAGAAAGUCACGGCUAACUACGUGCCAGCAGCCGCGGUAAUAC